GAUUAGGGGUUGUGAUUUUUCCCCCCUUUGGAUUCGUUUAGAAAUCGCUUACUGCCUUUAACUCCCCAGUCCCCAAAUGAAAGAAAAUGAAACCCCUAAAUCCCCAUUACUCUCUCUAACCUCCCCAGUCUCCCACGCACUCUUCAUCUCUCCGAUUUCUCAACUUUCUGCAACCCUAAAUCCUUCUUUCACUCUUCGCACUCUUGGGAAGAUUCUUCAUGAAUUUCGUUGGCAGUGUUCUGCAGACUAAGGAACCUUGAGGAGCUGGAUCUAAGCAGGAACAAAGUUGAUGGACGACUACAACUCUAUCUUGGUCAUUUAACUUCCCUACAUCUUCUGCAACUAGAAGAGAAUAAUCAUCGAGGAAGAAUUCCUGCAUCUUUGUUCACCAAACCUUGUUUCUCUUGAGAUCAAUUCCUGACAGCUUGUCCUACUUGAGUCGAAUCGAAAGACCAGGUCGUUGCAAGCAUCAUUAAGCAUUCUGAGCCAAGGAUCAGGUCCGCCUACUGUGAACUCGCCUGGGGCAAUUAGAAAGGCUGGAUUUUCUAGGACGUUUUUAUGGCUUUGUAUGGCUUUUUGAUGUUUGGGGGUUCAGCUGCAGAACUGAUUAAUUCAGCUUUACCGGGAAAUACUGUUGUUGCCCAGCCUCAGGCUUACGCUCUGUUUUUGAAGUUUGGGAAAAAUGCCGGAGUGUUGUUGUUGGAGAUCCGGUUUACAUCGCCACCGUCCUUGAGUACCUAGCUUGUUUCGAUCUGAGGAAGCAGGUAGCGCACUUCGAUUUGACGGAGUCUCUGGCUUAGGGUCCGGCCAUCAUGUCAUUUUAACGCUGAAGCGUGCAACAAGCAAUGCAUCGUUAUGGAUUGGGUUAAUUUCAGCAGAAGCAGUGCAUCCAGUAUUCUCAUCUGUGUAAUUACUUAAGUUGACUGAGAUUCCGGCUCUAGUUAAUUAGCAGGUCAUCCCAGAGUAACUACCCUAUAAGUUGCAUAACCUCUACCUAUUGUACUCUCCUCUGUUCCUGCUACCAACUCAUCUCAAUCAUCUGCUGCUGGUGUUGCUACUGGUGUUGCAGCUGGUGUUGCUGCUGGUGCUGGUCUAGCAGUGUUUUGUGCUGGCAGGUCUAUGCUACUGAGUACUUUCCUCAAGUUCCUGCCACUUAUUCUCAAGCGAUGAUUGACGAGACACGGGAUACUUUGGUUACAUAUUUUUCAAGCAAAAACAAGUUUUCAAUGAUCAGAUUGGUGAAGAUGAAGAAAAUGAUAUUUUGGACGUUGAUCAUGAAUGAUCUUUGUAGCUAGUUCAUAUUGACACUUUCUAACAAAUGUUUUGCGAAUCUCAUAGCAAGUUAAUACAUUUGAUGUAUUCUUUUGGAUUUAAGCUUGUGAUUGGAGUUUGGAGAAUGUUAUAUAUUACAGUAGUUUUAUUUAAUUUAUUGUUUUGGAGAACAAAAAGGUAUAUUGGUCGGUUUGGAGUAUUUUUAUGCAUAUAUAUAAUAUAGAGUUAAUGGA